GCAUCGAUGAAGAACGCAGCGAAAUGCGAUAAGUAGUGUGAAUUGCAGAAUUCAGUGAAUCAUCGAAUCUUUGAACGCACAUUGCGCCCCUUGGUAUUCCAUGGGGCAUGCCUGUUCGAGCGUCAUUUGUACCUUCAAGCUAUGCUUGGUGUUGGG
rnacentral:rRNA from 1 species